rnacentral:rRNA from 1 species
GACGAACGCUGGCGGCGUGCUUAACACAUGCAAGUCGAACGGAAAGGCCUCUUUCGGGGGGUACUCGAGUGGCGAACGGGUGAGUAACACGUGAGUAACCUGCCCUUGACUUUGGGAUAACUUCAGGAAACUGGGGCUAAUACCGGAUAGGAGCUCCUGCUGCAUGGUGGGGGUUGGAAAGUUUCGGCGGUUGGGGAUGGACUCGCGGCUUAUCAGCUUGUUGGUGGGGUAGUGGCGUACCAAGGCUUUGACGGGUAGCCGGCCUGAGAGGGUGGCCGGCCACAUUGGGACUGAGGUACGGCCCAGACUCCUACGGGAGGCAGCAGGGGGGAAUAUUGCACAAUGGGUGGAAGCCUGAUGCAGCAACGCCGUGUGCGGGAUGACGGCCUUCGGGUUGUAAACCGCUUUCGCUCAUGACGAAGCUUUGUGUGACGGUAGUGGGUAAAGAAGCACCGGCUAACUACGUG